rnacentral:rRNA from 1 species
GAUGAACGCUGGCGGCGUGCUUAACACAUGCAAGUCGAACGGAAAGGCUCCUGCUUGCAGGGGUACUCGAGUGGCGAACGGGUGAGUAACACGUGGGUGAUCUGCCCUGUACUUCGGGAUAAGCUUGGGAAACUGGGUCUAAUACCGGAUAGGACAACUUUUUGGAUAUUGUUGUGGAAAGCUUUUGCGGUAUGGGAUGAGCUCGCGGCCUAUCAGCUUGUUGGUGGGGUAAUGGCCUACCAAGGCGUCGACGGGUAGCCGGCCUGAGAGGGUGUACGGCCACAUUGGGACUGAGAUACGGCCCAAACUCCUACGGGAGGCAGCAGUGGGGAAUAUUGCACAAUGGGCGCAAGCCUGAUGCAGCGACGCCGCGUGGGGGAUGAAGGCCUUCGGGUUGUAAACUCCUUUCGCUAGGGACGAAGCUUUUUUGUGACGGUACCUGGAGAAGAAGCACCGGCUAACUACGUG